AACCAAAUCCCUUGCCACCGACAGAAAGAAGAGGGAAUAUAUCCAGAGGUCACGCUCCUCAAGGAGGAAUAUAUCCAGAGGUCGUGUUCCUCAAGGAGGUCACCAACUCCUAACUGCUUGUCCAGCUAUGACCUCAUUAGGGGAUUAACCCAUCUAUGAGGUAUGUGCCUUUGUGAUUAAAUCACCUCUCAGUGCCACUAGCUAAAGGACAAGAUCUUCCCGGGAUCCAUGUGUGGCAGGCAUUUCUUAUCCAAACCUGUGAAAGCACAGGAGACACAAGUCCAGGGAAGAGGUAUGUCGUGGGACAAAACUUUUCCUAGUGAGACACUAGACACAUCAACUACUCACCAAAGAUAGGGAACCUACCACAGACCAAAGUAUGGAUACCACCAAAGAACAACCGGGUGAACCAAUGAGUUUUAUGAGGGUUACUUACAGGAAUAUGGGUCCUCAUCAGCAGAACUGAUUCAGAUAGCUGCACCACCAAGUCUAGGCAUAUUUUAGGCACAGCACAAUUUGGUGAAAAUUUUCUUGGUGAUAUUUAACUCAAUCCCAUGUGGACAAUAAAGUUUAAGGUGUGACUUUA
rnacentral:sRNA from 1 species